AAACUUUCAACAAUGGAUCUCUUGGUUCCGGCAUCUAAGAAAAACGCAGCAAAAUGCUAUAACUAGUGUGAAUUGCAAAAUUCAGUGAAUCAUCGACUCUUUGAACGCAUUUUGCCCCCCCUGGUAUUCCGGGGGGCAUGCGUGUCAGAGCGUCUUUG
rnacentral:rRNA from 1 species